rnacentral:pre_miRNA from 1 species
CCCUGAGAUGGGGAACGAUAAAAAAACGGACGAACACAACAAAAUCUCAUUGAGAUUUUGUUGUGUUCGUCCGUUUUUUUAUCGUUCCCCAUCUCAGGGUUU